UAACUAUUGCAAUCAUUUUUCAAAAAUAAUUUCAUUAAAUAAUCUACAAGUAUUAUCAAUUGAGUAAAUUUUCAUAGUAGUGCCUGAGAUUUUCGGACUCAAUUUAAUCAUCCAUAUUCCAAAUUUCACCAUAGUAGUCCUUCUGAUUGAGCUCCAGGCAAUGUAAUGGUCCCUGGAUCUCUUUCCGGUUAUGAGUUAUCAAUCACAGUGAUGAUGUAACACUUCGUUGCUACGCUGGAUGCUGCAAUUUUGAAAUUUGGACCUAAUUUAGUCCAUCUUCUUUGUUCUUCUUGUGGGUCACCUUGAUUAUGAGGUUAUUGGAGGCAGUGUUGUGUUCAAAUUAAGGGGAGAAUUUGCUUGAAAUGGAACCGAAGAAACAGUCACUAGCUGGUCUUUUUAUGAGUUUUCCAUCCCCUAUUAAGAUUUCUGGUAUUUUUAAAAUUUUGACUUUUACCUCCAUCUGUAGCAGAUCAUAGUAGUUCAGGGAAGAAGCAACUAGAAGCUGACUCAGCAGUAGCUUAAUCAACUUGAAAAAAUUAGUUAGAUUAUUGUAUAACUAGUAUAGAGUUAGUUAGCAUGUAACUUAAUUAGUUUAGCUAGUUAACUGCACCUUAGGUGAGAAUAUAUAUAGUGUAUAUAAAGUUUGUAGGUGUAAUUUAAAAUAGGAAUGAAUAAACUUGUGCAGAUCAUGAAUUUUUAAAUCAUGUUUGGUUAGAGAAAGGAUGUGAUGUAUACCUGUGAAAGGUACAAGUAUGGUUGGAGUCAAAUUAUUAAUGCUUCUUUUUGUCUAUCUGAAAAUAAUCCACCAAUACUGAUGUCGCUCUCUCCAUUGGACUUGAUAACUUUGCUGAGUUCACCAUUCUCUUCAGCAACUUAAUUGAUGGUGACAAUGUUGUUGACAUUAGCAUUAUUUGCCUCAAAUUUUCUUUGUAGGUGCGGAGGAUAACCAUGCCUUUGAUAGCAUGUAUCUAUGGUGUGGCCAUAUUUGUCAUAGUGUGAGCAAGUUUUUGGAAGUCCUCUGCCCCCAUAUCCUUUUUCUGACCUUCCACCACGCGUUCUUCCUCUCCCCAUAUUGUAACUUGUUUCCCUUGGAUGCUGCGUUCCAGUUUUGGCAGCAUUAAUCAAAGCUCCAAGAUCACUGUCAGUGUUCAUAAACUGCAGCUCUUGUUGUAGAAGCAAAGAGUAAGCAGCGCUAAUGGUAGAGAGAGACUUUAUCAACAUAAUCUGGGACCGGACAACAGAAUACUAAUGACUAAGUCCUCUUAGAAAUUAAAAUCCAUGUCUUUCAAAUGUACUUCUUCAUCAUUCCAAAGCCACACUCACACAUGUACAACUUGGAAUUGGCAUAAACUCAUCCAAUUCUUCGGAAAUGCCUUUGAAUUUGGUGAAAUAGUCAGUAAUUGACAACUUUCCUUGUCUCAUAGUGAACAAAUCCUCAUGCAAUUCUGCAAUCCUAAAUAUAUCUCCCUGAUAAAAGCGAUGGUUAAGUUUCUCCCAAAGCUCAUACGUAUCAUUACACCAUAUGACACUGGGCAAUAUUUCAGCACUCAUAGAGGCAUAAAGCCAAGACAAUAGAAAAGAAUCCCAAGCCUAAAGUGUUGGAUCAGUUUGAUAUGAUUUUCACAGAGUUCCAUCAAUAAACAUAAUCUUGUUUUUUUGUUUUGAUAAAAAUCUAUAUCGAUCUCUCCCAAACAUAAUAGUUCUUAGUGUUCAGAGGAGUAGUUGUUAAAGAAAUACCUGGAUGCUCACUUAAAUUCAAAAAAUACGAACUCAUUGGAUCUUGCAUAAGAGUCACGUUGGAUCGAGAAGCAUGUGUUUGAAUCGUUGAGAAAUAGUUCAUCA